AAAAAGAUUGCCAUAGAAACAAGAACAAUGAAGCACUAAGGGAAUGAGCAUGAAGUAGAGACUGGGGGUGCAGGUCCGUAAAGGUGGGUCAGCAAACCAACUGGGUGUGGAGUCCCAACUGCAUACUGUGCCGUAACCUGAGCCAAAACGGGCCGUAAACUCUCAAGGCCCCAACGCGCAUGAGCGACCACUGAAUGGUCCUGAGCAUGGACACCAAGGCUUCGUCCUCUUCGAGUCGCGACCUUAAACCCAAAACUUGACAGAAGCGGCCAUGGAAAUCAAAGUGAAGUCCGGAAUUCCAGAAGAGGCGCGGUCAUAUCGAACUCACAAGCGGAAAUUGCAAUCUUACUUCAAUGUCCUGAAUUCAAGUCCAAUCAAUUCCACCAAUUGGAUCCCCAAACUCAAAAAGAGACGCUUCCAAAUCCAGCUGCAUCCGAAUUUCAUUAGCGCUUCUGCAAACGGGAUUAUGCACUCUCCAAAGAGUUCCACGAUUAAUCCACAAACAAAGUUCCAUUCUACAAUUAAACUCCUCAACCGCACCACGUAUCGGUUCGUCACAACUUAAAAUUCGAUGCGAAACGCUUAUUCAGGAACAACGAAUAAAAACGAUGAAGCACAGAAAUGUAAUCGCGCCUACCUGUAAGGAGUGGUGUGGUCGUUCCUUGAAGCCGGCUUCGACGGAAAGUAAUCCAAGCUUCUCCUUCGGGUAUGCAAUCUUCCUCCGUUCUUGCUACGCGUUCUUCUUCUUUACUCUUCUUUCUUCUACUCCUUGUGAUUGGUAAUGCGUUGACGUCGUUCUUUAUUGUUUGUAUGCGCGAUGAAUGGGAAAGAGAAUGAGGUCAAGCUCAGCACGUUGAAGCUUCAAGGAGAGAGCUUCAAUGUCUAUCAAAUUGAGCUCUAUGUGAAGGGUUAAAGGGGAAGAACGAGGGAGAGGAAGGACUUGCAAACGAUUGGUGAAAAAACUCAGUCUCCACCAUGAUGCAGGAAAAAAAACUCGGUACGCUUAGCCCAAGUCAGGAAACCGUCCUGGAAUGAGAUCGAAAUCUGCGGAACCGCAUCUCAUCAUGUCAGUGGGAAAAAAAGCAACUAGAGUUACACUCCUGCUGGUAGAUUGCUUAAUUCUGUUAGAGUCAUGGCAUGAACUUGUGAUGCAAUUAGCCACAAUUAGAUGAUGCCUUAGUUGACUGUUUGUAGGUCAUGAAAGGACCAAACAAUAGGUUGCUUGCAAGUGAUGAAGCUUGAAUACUAAGGUUUAACAACUACUUCAGUUUUGCUUGUCAAAUGAGCAACAAACUUGAAUUUCUUGAUGAUACUAGGAUCAAAUUUCUUGUUAUGAGCGACCUGCUGUCAUGCCCUGUACAUGUGGGUGCAAAAUGGAUUUUGUGCAUCAUUUAUGUUGGAUAUGGAUGUUAUGUGGACCGUGUUGCUGCUAGAGAACAAGUUAUUCCACAUGAGCUUCCAUCCACUACAGAGAAAAAGUGAUGACUCCAUUCUUGGUGAAAGUACUAAGGAAGUAAGUCUACAUCAUCCUUGUCGCCAUGAUCUCAGUUGGAGUCUUGAUGUUACUUGAACAUACAUGAUCUGUUGGAGACAGUCAUUAUACUAACGGCUUUCCAUGUGUUGACUCAUGUGAUUGUGCAAGGUGGUGGCGCGAAUUCUUGUGAUCUUUAGCAUUCUGCACUAGCCAAGCCUUUUAGGUCUAGCAUUUGAUUUACAUUGCUUAUUCAACUUGUAUCUUGGUAUCAGGUAAAAUGGUGUAACACAUAUUGUAGACUUUGAUGUUAGUAAAGGUUUGUUAGAAUGGUUAACUUGAGAUGAAAUUAAGAAGUUUCAUAAUUUUAGUAAUUUUUCCAAUGCUUGUGAAUUGUAUGGAUGUUUGGCUUUAUGCUUGACAAAAUGGAUUGUAAAGAAACUUUAAUGAAUGAUUGUUAUGUUUUGAAA